rnacentral:tRNA from 1 species
GUGAAGGUAGCUCAGUUGGUAGAGCUCCAGGUUGUGGCCCUGGCGGUCGCGGGUUCGAGUCCCGUCCUUCACCCCA